GAUGAACGCUGGCGGCGUGCCUAACACAUGCAAGUCGAACGGGAAGGCCCCUUCUUGCCGGGGUCCUCUGGUUGCGGAAGGGUGAGUUACACGUGGGUGCUGUGUCCCGUACUUCGGGGUAAGCUUGGGCAACUGGGUGUAAUACCGGGUAGGACAACUUUUUGGUUGUUGUUGUGGCAAGUUUUUGGGGUGUUGGAUGGGGGCGCGGCCUAUUAGGGUGUUGGUGGGGGAAUGGCCGACCAAGGCGUCGACGGGGAGCCGGCCGGGGGGGGGGGAGGGCCACAAUGGGAAUGGGAAACGGCCCAGGCUCCUACGGGAGGCAGGAGGGGGGAAUAUUGCACAAUGGGCGCAAGCCUGAAGCAGCGACGCCGCGUGGGGGAUGAAGGCCUUCGGGUUGUAAACUCCUUUCGCUAGGGACGAAGCGUUUUUGUGACGGUACCUGGAGAAGAAGCACCGGCUAACUACGUG
rnacentral:rRNA from 1 species